rnacentral:rRNA from 1 species
UACGUAGGUGGCAAGCGUUGUCCGGAGUUAUUGGGCGUAAAGAGCUCGUAGGUGGUUCGGUAAGUCGGAUGUGAAAUCUCCAGGCUCAACCUGGAGGGGUCAUUCGAUACUGCCGUGACUAGAGUUCGGUAGAGGAGUGUGGAAUUCCUGGUGGAGCGGUGAAAUGCGCAGAGAUCAGGAGGAACACCCGUAGCGAAGGCGGCACUCUGGGCCGAUACUGACACUGAGGAGCGAAAGCGUGGGGAGCGAACAGG